GACGAACUCUGGCGGCGUGCUUAACACACGCAAGUCGAACGAAGUGGCGAACGGGUGAGUAACGCGUAAACAACCUGCCCUUCAGAGGGGGACAACAGUUGGAAACGACUGCUAAUACCGCAUACUGAAGGAGGGGAUUGCGUCUGACGAGCAAGUUGGAGGGGUAACGGCCCACCAAGGCGAUGAUCAGUAACGGUCCUGCUAUGAUCAACGGCCACAUUGCGACUGAGACACGGCCCAGACUCCUACGGGAGGCAGCAGUUGGGAAGCUUCCUCAAUGGACGAAAGUCUGACGGAGCAACGCCGCGUGUGUGAUGACGUCCUUCGGGUUGUAAAGCUCUGUUAAUCGGGACACGGUACCGGAAUAGAAAGCCACGGCUAACUACGUGCCAGCAGCCGCGGUAAUUC
rnacentral:rRNA from 1 species